rnacentral:rRNA from 1 species
UUCCUACGGGAGGCAGCAGUGGGGAAUAUUGCACAAUGGGCGCAAGCCUGAUGCAGCGACGCCGCGUGAGGGAUGACGGCCUUCGGGUUGUAAACCUCUUUCAGUAGGGAAGAAGCGAAAGUGACGGUACCUGCAGAAGAAGCACCGGCUAACUACGUGCCAGCAGCCGCGGUAAUACGUAGGGUGCGAGCGUUAUCCGGAAUUAUUGGGCGUAAAGAGCUCGUAGGCGGUUUGCCGCGUCUGUCGUGAAAGUCCGGGGCUUAACCCCGGAUCUGCGGUGGGUACGGGCAGACUAGAGUGCAGUAGGGGAGACUGGAAUUCCUGGUGUAGCGGUGGAAUGCGCAGAUAUCAGGAGGAACACCGAUGGCGAAGGCAGGUCUCUGGGCUGUAACUGACGCUGAGGAGCGAAAGCAUGGGGAGCGAACAGGAUU